UACAGAGGGGGCAAGCGUUGUUCGGAAUUACUGGGCGUAAAGGGCGCGUAGGCGGCCCGCUAAGUCGAACGUGAAAUCCCCGAGCUCAACUCGGGAACUGCGUCCGAUACUGGUGGGCUUGAAUCCGGGAGAGGGAUGCGGAAUUCCAGGUGUAGCGGUGAAAUGCGUAGAUAUCUGGAGGAACACCGGUGGCGAAGGCGGCAUCCUGGACCGGCAUUGACGCUGAGGCGCGAAGGCUAGGGGAGCAAACGGG
rnacentral:rRNA from 1 species